UAGUUCUGGGCUCUAGGAGGCCAGAUUUCAAAGUCCCACUGCCCCAAAACAGUGUCGGACAUGGGGCCUGCCCCUGAGAGAAUGCUUGAGAGACAAAGGUGCUAAGAGCAGUGAUCUGCCACUGUGCAAGGGCUUGGAAGCACAUUGGGAUCCAAUCACAACAGAGACAAGGUGGUAACCUCAGUAUGAAAUUCCUCGAGGGAUGGUCUAUUGUUCAAGAGAGUAGCUUGCACGGAAGGAGAAUGACAAGACUAGACAAUGAAUGACUUCAGUGGAAGCAACAACCCUGGGAAGCUUUAAAGGCAACCCUGCAUAACCCUGCAUCCAGUCUAUUUCAAGUAACACCACAGCACUGCAACAUUCUUCCUCAAUGAACAUCCCUUCUGCAGUUUUGUAGUGCUGAAGCACAAAAGAGCAUAAUAUGCAUGAC